AUCCUCCAUUCGAGACCCAGGCUUCGCUACACCUCCAAAAAUGCCAUCGUAGACGUGCUUUCCAGCUAAGCCUCCACCGUUAGCGAGCUUAUUGGAGAAAGUAGUAGCAGAGGAAGCUUGUUGAUACUCCAUUGAGACAGAAGAAAGAGAUACUAUUUAGUGUUUACGCCUUUGGUUUUUGCUUCUUUCUUCUCUCCUGCGUCUGGUCUUUCUCUACAUAGAAA
rnacentral:misc_RNA from 1 species